rnacentral:lncRNA from 1 species
CGGUUUAAUGGCAGCAAUGUAAUGCUGCCAUUAUAGGAUAGAUAUUGGUUGUAAUUGGCAGGUGGUGUAGCUUAAAAGCAGGCAUUUUCUGCCCAGUUUUUACCCAGAUUACCGACCGAAAUUCGGUCGGAAAUUUCCGACCGAUUUCGGUCGGUACACGUUAGCGACCAUCAUUUUUCCAACCAUUUAAAAUCGGUCGGAAAUCGAUCGAUUUUUAUCAAUUUCCGACCGAUUUCGGUCGGAUUUGAUGGACGGAUUUGCACUGAUUUUAGUAGUGUACAUUCCACCAUUUGGAUUUUCACUACUAUAUGUUAUGUAUUCAGAAGUAACUAUCUACUUUCCAAGAAAUUGGUUCCAUUGAUUGCUUCUCUUGGUAUUCAGCAGCUGAUCAUGAAAUUCGCAAUGACAAGUUGAUAGAGGUAGGUUCUAUUUAUGAGAUUAAUAAUCAUAUAAAUCUACCUCCAUAUCUACCUCGGUGGAUAGUUCAAGUCAAGUUCAUCAGAGUAGCAAUGGUGAGAAAAUAACCUGAUGCUAUAGUACAACUUUUCAGUAUGGUGUUAAAAGAAUGUAGAAAUAUGCAGAGAGGAAGCAUAUUCUAUUCUUCUGGUUGCUGAAGGAGGAAUUCCUUAAAGCGUUUCGUAUUUGAUGAAAUCAGCGAUGCAACAAUGGAGGAGGACAUGAACCUAAAGAGAAAAAGAUAUACUACUAACUUAAUAACUAAAAGGGCAGCCCGGUGCAUUAAGCUCUCGCUGUGCGCAGGGUUCGGGGAAGGACCAGACCACAAGGGUCUAUUGUACGCAGUCUUACCCUAAAUUUCUGUAAGAGACUGUUUUCACGACUCGAAUUGAUAACGACUAGUAUGAAAAAGGCAAAGGGUGAAUAUUGGGCUAGCUAGUAUCCCUAUUCCUGAGCCUCUGUUGAAAGCGAUGGGGCUGAAGUUCAUUGAAGAUCCUGAUUUGGUUGAUCAUUUGCUCGAGAAAGGAGGCCAGUGUAGAUCCUUAUUGGAUUCCACCACCUGGUUGGAAACACGGAGAUGAGAUUUCUGUACUUAAAAGGUUUACUAGAGAUGAUUUCCUAUGCUUUUUCGUUAUGGAUGUCUAUGUCCAAAGGAAAAUAUAACUUAGUUUUUUCUUUUCAAUAUCUUUAAAUAUUGAUUGUAUACAGAGACCAGGAGGAGACGAUGGUGCUUGAAGAAAUUCGAAAGUUGAGAAGGUUAAUAUAACAGUAACCUGAAUUUGCAACUCUAAUUUUGUUGGUGAAAUAAAUACAAACUGUGUAUGUAUAUACAAGAGUUGAUACAUUUUUCUUUCUAUUUGAGCAGAGAGAGGUUGAACUAAGUAAUCAAUCACAAGUAAGUUACUUUCGAUAAUGUCAUUUGAAUUGUUUAGACAUUCAUAUCUCUUUUGACAUAUGAUUGCAUAUAUUUCAUUUGACAGGAAGAGUUGAGGAAAGAAGUAAGGGCUUUUAUAAAGGUA